UACGGAGGGUGCAAGCGUUAUCCGGAUUCACUGGGUUUAAAGGGUGCGUAGGCGGGUGCAUAAGUCAGUGGUGAAAUCCUGGAGCUUAACUCCAGAACUGCCAUUGAUACUAUGCGUCUUGAAUAUUGUGGAGGUAAGCGGAAUAUGUCAUGUAGCGGUGAAAUGCUUAGAUAUGACAUAGAACACCGAUUGCGAAGGCAGCUUGCUACACAAAUAUUGACGCUGAGGCACGAAAGCGUGGGGAUCAAACAGG
rnacentral:rRNA from 1 species